UAAUACAUGCAAGUCGAACGAACUCUGGUAUUGAUUGGUGCUUGCAUCAUGAUUUACAUUUGAGUGAGUGGCGAACUGGUGAGUAACACGUGGGAAACCUGCCCAGAAGCGGGGGAUAACACCUGGAAACAGAUGCUAAUACCGCAUAACAACUUGGACCGCAUGGUCCGAGUUUGAAAGAUGGCUUCGGCUAUCACUUUUGGAUGGUCCCGCGGCGUAUUAGCUAGAUGGUGGGGUAACGGCUCACCAUGGCAAUGAUACGUAGCCGACCUGAGAGGGUAAUCGGCCACAUUGGGACUGAGACACGGCCCAAACUCCUACGGGAGGCAGCAGUAGGGAAUCUUCCACAAUGGACGAAAGUCUGAUGGAGCAACGCCGCGUGAGUGAAGAAGGGUUUCGGCUCGUAAAACUCUGUUGUUAAAGAAGAACAUAUCUGAGAGUAACUGUUCAGGUAUUGACGGUAUUUAACCAGAAAGCCACGGCUAACUACGUGCCAGCAGCCGCGGUAAUACGUAGGUGGCAAGCGUUGUCCGGAUUUAUUGGGCGUAAAGCGAGCGCAGGCGGUUUUUUAAGUCUGAUGUGAAAGCCUUCGGCUCAACCGAAGAAGUGCAUCGGAAACUGGGAAACUUGAGUGCAGAAGAGGACAGUGGAACUCCAUGUGUAGCGGUGAAAUGCGUAGAUAUAUGGAAGAACACCAGUGGCGAAGGCGGCUGUCUGGUCUGUAACUGACGCUGAGGCUCGAAAGUAUGGGUAGCAAACAGGAUUAGAUACCCUGGUAGUCCAUACCGUAAACGAUGAAUGCUAAGUGUUGGAGGGUUUCCGCCCUUCAGUGCUGCAGCUAACGCAUUAAGCAUUCCGCCUGGGGAGUACGGCCGCAAGGCUGAAACUCAAAGGAAUUGACGGGGGCCCGCACAAGCGGUGGAGCAUGUGGUUUAAUUCGAAGCUACGCGAAGAACCUUACCAGGUCUUGACAUACUAUGCAAAUCUAAGAGAUUAGACGUUCCCUUCGGGGACAUGGAUACAGGUGGUGCAUGGUUGUCGUCAGCUCGUGUCGUGAGAUGUUGGGUUAAGUCCCGCAACGAGCGCAACCCUUAUUAUCAGUUGCCAGCAUUAAGUUGGGCACUCUGGUGAGACUGCCGGUGACAAACCGGAGGAAGGUGGGGAUGACGUCAAAUCAUCAUGCCCCUUAUGACCUGGGCUACACACGUGCUACAAUGGAUGGUACAACGAGUUGCGAACUCGCGAGAGUAAGCUAAUCUCUUAAAGCCAUUCUCAGUUCGGAUUGUAGGCUGCAACUCGCCUACAUGAAGUCGGAAUCGCUAGUAAUCGCGGAUCAGCAUGCCGCGGUGAAUACGUUCCCGGGCCUUGUACACACCGCCCGUCACACCAUGAGAGUUUGUAACACCCAAAGUCGGUGGGGUAACCUUUUAGGAACC
rnacentral:rRNA from 2 species